GACGAACGCUGGCGGCGUGCUUAACACAUGCAAGUCGAACGGAAAGGCCCUGCUUUUGUGGGGUGCUCGAGUGGCGAAAGGGUGAGUAACACGUGAGUCACCUGCCCUUGACUUUGGGAUAACUUCCGGAAACUGGGGCUAAUACCGGAUAGGAGCUCCUGCUGCAUGGUGGGGGUUGGAAAGUUUCGGCGGUUGGGGAUGGACUCGCGGCUUAUCAGCUUGUUGGUGGGGUAGUGGCUUACCAAGGCUUUGACGGGUAGCCGGCCUGAGAGGGUGACCGGCCACAUUGGGACUGAGAUACGGCCCAGACUCCUACGGGAGGCAGCAGUGGGGAAUAUUGCACAAUGGGCGGAAGCCUGAUGCAGCAACGCCGCGUGCGGGAUGACGGCCUUCGGGUUGUAAACCGCUUUCGCCUGUGACGAAGCGUGAGUGACGGUAAUGGGUAAAGAAGCACCGGCUAACUACGUG
rnacentral:rRNA from 1 species